CAGUCGCCGCGGGAAUACAGAGGGUGCAAGCGUUAAUCGGAAUUACUGGGCGUAAAGCGCGCGUAGGUGGUUUGUUAAGUUGGAUGUGAAAUCCCCGGGCUCAACCUGGGAACUGCAUCCAAAACUGGCAAGCUAGAGUAUGGUAGAGGGUGGUGGAAUUUCCUGUGUAGCGGUGAAAUGCGUAGAUAUAGGAAGGAACACCAGUGGCGAAGGCGACCACCUGGACUGAUACUGACACUGAGGUGCCAAAGCGUGGGGAGCAAACAGGAUUAGAUACCCCCGUAGUCCCUGUCUCUUAUAU
rnacentral:rRNA from 1 species